rnacentral:rRNA from 1 species
AUACGGAGGGUGCAAGCGUUAAUCGGAAUUACUGGGCGUAAAGCGUACGUAGGCGGUUCGUUAAGUUAGAUGUGAAAGCCCCGGGCUUAACCUGGGAACUGCAUUUAAAACUGGCGGACUAGAGUUGAGUAGAGGGGAGUGGAAUUUCAGGUGUAGCGGUGAAAUGCGUAGAGAUCUGAAGGAACACCAGUGGCGAAGGCGACUCCCUGGACUCGAACUGACGCUGAGGUACGAAAGCGUGGGUAGCAAACGGGAUUAGAAACCCGGGUAGUCC